rnacentral:misc_RNA from 1 species
CAAUUCUCAACUUAAUAUAAAAAAUAUUCAAUUGAUGGGGAUAGAUUAUAGAAUAAUACUAAACUUUCUGAUUGAUUUUACAGAAUUUGCAGAAUAUUUCUUACAGGGAAAUUUUGAUUUAAAAAUGACAAAGUAAAAAGAGUAUACAAAAGAGCAAUUAUUAGAAAUUUGAUGCUUCUUAGUUAGAAGGCUUGGAGACAGCAGCAUCUUUGUUGGCUCUAUUGUAUUUCAUGUGGCUCUUUACAAGUUGUCCAGCGGCAAUUGCAGACAUUAGAGAGAGCUCUCCAGCAAGAACACCGCCAGCAACUAUGGACGCUAAAACCCUGGAGUUAGCUCCUGGCGUUUCCUUGCUUGCUCCCUUCACCCCAAGCAGGUUCAAGCAUGCUGAUUGGGAUGCAAGCUGUGUACCUCCUCCAACAGUACCAACCUCAAUAGAAGGCAUUGUCACAGAGACGUGAAGAUCCUGCCCAUCAUUAACAGCUUCCAUCAUGGUGAUGCAGUUAGAACUCUCUACGUUCUGUGCUGGAUCUUGGCCGGUUGCUAUGUAAAUUGCAGUCACUAUGUUACUGGCAUGAGCAUUGAACCCACCUAGAGCUCCAGCCAUGGCAGAACCAGUUAGAUUCUUCAGCAUAUUAAGCUCCACCAAGGCUUCCACAUUCGUCUUCAACACCUUCUUCACCACAUCACCCUUGAUUAUUGCUUCGCACGCUACUGACUUUCCCCUUCCUUCAAUCCAGUUCACAGCUGCAGGCUUCUUAUCCGAGCAGAAGUUACCAGAGACGCCAAUAACAUCCAUGUCAGGGAAAUCAUUCUGGAGGAAAUCCAAUACAUUCUGGACACCUUUAGAGACCAUGUUCAUGCCCAUAGCGUCACCAGUGCCGCAACAGAAUCUAAUGUACAGGUUCUUUCCAGCAAUAGCGCACCUAAUACUUUGAAGCCUGCCAAAUCUGCUGGAUUUGUUAAACACGGUAGACACAGUCUCAAAAUUGGCACUAUCCUCCAAGUAAAACUUCAAUUGGGCUGCUCUUUUUGCCGUCCCGAACCUAACAACAGGUGCUCUGGUCAUCCCAUCCCUCAACACGACGCUUGUGGCUCCACCAGAUAUGUGAAUGGCCUUGCAGCCCCUAUUGGUACUGGCUACCAAGCACCCUUCAGUGGUAGCCAUGGGAACCGAAACUUCCUUACCGUCUAGCAACAAUGGUCCAGCAAUGCCAACGGGAAUCUGGACAUACCCAACGGGCAUCUCGCAGCACUGUCCCAAUAUUGACUCAUAAUCAAAGCCCUCCAGAGGCAACCCAGAAAGCGAUUUGCCAGUUAUCCUCUGCAAGGCCUCCCGCCUGAUUGCAGCAGCACGCUUGCAAUCCCCCAAUUUAGACUCGAGGGAAUACGAAGGGGUAGUUCCAGCCACAACAGAUUUGAUGAUCCCCUCAUCUUCCUCGCCCAAAGUGGCGGUGGUAGUGAUGGCUGGAAAUGAGAUUUCCUCGACCACUUUCGGCUUCGGAGAAGGAAGCACAAUUGGGCCCACUGCUUUUGUAGAAGAAACAAUUGGCCGUGAUAGUGGUGGUGCAGUAAGAGAGCAAUCGAGAGCUUGCCCACAUGGCGAUUUCCGGGCAUCUUCCUUGAGCAGAAUUUGUUCCGCUGGCUCCUCCUCUUCAUCAUCCACAGCCCACAUAUCGGUUGGAGGGCGUAAGAUAAGGGACUGAACAAAAUCAAUACCAAAGAAGCCAAGAAGGUAAAUGAAGGAAGCAAACAAAGCAACAAUAGCAGCAAUUUCAGAAAGAGUGACAACAUGCAGAGGGGCGGAGGUGCGAAUCUUCUCACGCCAGCGGCUAAGAAGAAAAUAAACAACCCAAAAGAAGACGGUGAAGCAGAGAGCAUUGGUUAGGUAGAUAUGGAGAGGCAGUGCAUCGGAGGGCUUCUGGGUAUUCUCAUCCUCCAAUGCUUUUACUUUGCGGGAAUGGAUGGGAUUCCCGGAGGUGGGUCGCCGGCCGGCAUCCAUUAUAGACCAGCUAGCGGAGGAUGAGAGGAGAGAGGAUUGAGUUGGU